CGUCGGGGAAUGUUUUGUGAUGAUGAGAUGCAAGUGGACACCUGCUGAUUAAGGUCAAGAUGCCAAAAUUACGGGAUCGAAGAGCGUUGGCAGCAUUAAAAGAUGAGCAACAGGAAGAGGACAAUGAUUUUAAGGACAGCCGGUGGACAAAGCAGGAGAGGACUGCACUGCUGCGCGCUGUCAGGCAGCAUGGCACAUUCAGCAUGGAACCACUGGUUGCUGCAGUGAAACCACGUACUUUACAACAGGUGCUGAACCACCUGAAACGGGCGCGGCGGGUGCGCCGCGCGCGGGCGCAGUCGACGCCGAUCGAGGCCUGGCUGGAGCGGCUGGGGCGCGCCAACGCGCCGCCGCCCUGCU
rnacentral:lncRNA from 1 species